AUGGCCGAGACCGAGGAGCGGAGCCUGGAAAACUUCUUCGCCAAGAGGGACAAGAAGAAGGAACGGAGCAGUCGGGCGGCCAUCGUUGCGAGCGGCACGGACGGGAGCAGCGCGGCGGUGGGCUCCAGGCCGGGCGAUGGCCGGAGCUCGGUCUCAGGUGCCAGGUCGGGCGACUUAGGGAGCUCGGGCUCUGGUGCUAGGUCCAGAGACAGCGGGAGCGCGGGCCCGGCCGACAAGGCCAUAACGAAGGAUGAAAAUGAGUGGAAAGAAUUUGAGCACAUAGAGGUUGAUUACAGUGGAUUAAGAGUUCAGGCAAUGCAAAUAAGUGAAAAGCAAGAUGAUGAUAAUGAGAAGAGAGAAGAUCCAGGAGAUAAUUGGGAAGAAGGUAGAGGUGGCAGUGGAGCAGAAAAAUCUCCAGGUUCCUGGAAUAAAACCGUUCUGGUACAAGCGCCUCCUGCUCCAGUAACAGUUACAGAAACCCCGGGGCCAGCAAUGCCCAGUGGUGUAUUUAGGCCUCCUGAGGCAAGGCUAACCACAACAUGGAAAACUCCACAAGGACCACCGGAAAUAUACAGUGACACACAGUUCCCAUCCCUGCAGUCCACUGCCAAGCAUGUAGAGAGCCGGAAGGAUAAAGAAAUGGAGAAGACCUUUGAAGUAGUAAGACACAAAAAUAGAGAUAGGGAGAAGGUUUCAAAAAACCAGGCCCUUAAACUUCAGCUAGACCACCAGUAUGCUGUGCUUGAGAAUCAGAAGUACAGCCACACACAGUAU